CCUAACACAUGCAAGUCGAACGGAGCUUAGAGAGCUUGCUUUUUAAGCUUAGUGGCGAACGGGUGAGUAACGCGUGAGUAACCUGCCCUAGAGUGGGGGACAACAGUUGGAAACGACUGCUAAUACCGCAUAAGCCCACGGUACCGCAUGGCACUGAGGGAAAAGGAUUUAUUCGCUUUAGGAUGGACUCGCGUCCAAUUAGCUAGUUGGUGAGGUAACGGCCCACCAAGGCGACGAUUGGUAGCCGGACUGAGAGGUUGAACGGCCACAUUGGGACUGAGACACGGCCCAGACUCCUACGGGAGGCAGCAGUGGGGGAUAUUGCACAAUGGGGGGAAACCCUGAUGCAGCGACGCCGCGUGGAGGAAGAAGGUUUUCGGAUUGUAAACUCCUGUCGUUAGGGACGAUAAUGACGGUACCUAACAAGAAAGCACCGGCUAACUACGUGCCAGCAGCCGCGGUAAAACGUAGGGUGCAAGCGUUGUCCGGAAUUACUGGGUGUAAAGGGAGCGCAGGCGGGAAGACAAGUUGGAAGUGAAAACCAUGGGCUCAACCCAUGAAUUGCUUUCAAAACUGUUUUUCUUGAGUAGUGCAGAGGUAGAUGGAAUUCCCGGUGUAGCGGUGGAAUGCGUAGAUAUCGGGAGGAACACCAGUGGCGAAGG
rnacentral:rRNA from 1 species